rnacentral:rRNA from 1 species
GACGAACGCUGGCGGCGUGCCUAAUACAUGCAAGUCGAACGCAGUGGGGACGGGUGAGUAACACGUGGGUAACCUCCCAUCAGAGGGGAUAACACUUGGAAACAGGUGCUAAACCGAUACUGAUGGAUGGACCCGCGGUGCAUUAGCGAGUUGGUGGGGUAACGGCUCCCCAAGGCCACGAUGCAUAGCUGACCUGAGAGGUUGAUCGGCAACACUGGGACUGAGACACGGCCCAGACUCCGACGGGAGGAAGAAGUGGGAAAUCUUCGGCAAGGGACGAAAGUCUGACCGAGAAACGCCGCGUGAGUGAAGAGGGUUUUCGGAUCGUAAAACGCGUUUGUUAGAGAAGCGGUAUCUAAACAGAAAGCCACGGCUAACUACGUGCCAGCAGCCGCGGUAAUAC